GACGAACGCUGGCGGCGUGCUUAACACAUGCAAGUCGAACGGAAAGGCCCUGCUUUUGUGGGGUGCUCGAGUGGCGAACGGGUGAGUAACACGUGAGUAACCUGCCCUUGACUUUGGGAUAACUUCAGGAAACUGGGGCUAAUACCGGAUAGGAGCUCCUGCUGCAUGGUGGGGGUUGGAAAGUUUCGGCGGUUGGGGAUGGACUCGCGGCUUAUCAGCUUGUUGGUGGGGUAGUGGCUUACCAAGGCUUUGACGGGCAGCCGGCCUGAGAGGGUAACCGGCCACAUUGGGACUGCGAGACGGCCCAGACGCCUACGGGAGGCAGCGGGGGAGAAUAUUGCGCAAUGGGCGGAAGCCUGAUGCAGCGACGCCGCGUGCGGGAUGACGGCCUUCGGGUGAUAAACCGCUUUCGCCGGUGACGAAGCGUGAGUGACGGUAAUGGGUAAAGAAGCACCGGCUAACUACGUG
rnacentral:rRNA from 1 species